rnacentral:misc_RNA from 1 species
GAUGAAGAACGCAGCAAAAUGCGAUAAGUAAUGUGAAUUGCAGAAUUCAGUGAAUCAUCGAAUCUUUGAACGCACAUUGCGCCCGCUGGUAUUCCGGCGGGCAUGCCUGUUCGAGCGUCAUUUCAGCCCUCAAGCCCCCGGGUUUGGUGUUGGGGAUCGGCUCUGCCCUUCUGGGCGGUGCCGCCCCCGAAAUACAUUGGCGGUCUCGCUGCAGCCUCCAUUGCGUAGUAGCUAACACCUCGCAACUGGAACGCGGCGCGGCCAUGCCGUAAAACCCCAACUUCUGAAUGUUGACCUCGGAUCAGGUAGGAAUACCCGCUGAACUUAAGCAUAUCAAUAAGCGGAGGA